CAGCAGCCACGGUAAUACGAAGGGUGCAAGCGUUACUCGGAAUUACUGGGCGUAAAGCGUGCGUAGGUGGUGGUUUAAGUCCGUUGUGAAAGCCCCGGGCUCAACCUGGGAAUGGCAGUGGAUACUGGCUCGCUAGAGUGUGUCAGAGGAUGAUGGAAUUCCCGGUGUAGCGGUGAAAUGCGUAGAGAUCGGGAGGAACAUCAGUGGCGAAGGCGGCCAUCUGGGACAACACUGACGCUGAGGCACGAAAGCGUGGGGAGCAAACAGGAUUAGAUACCCCAGUAGUCCCUGUCUCUUAUAC
rnacentral:rRNA from 1 species